CCAGCAUCCUCACUUGUGUGAGAGGAGAUUUUGACACCUGUCACCAGUCACUUUGUCUUUGUCCCUGCUCCUCAGUUUUGCUUUCACAGAGCUGGUCCUGGGCUUCCAACCUUCCUACCUGACUCUUUCCUAAGAUGGAGCAGGGCUUCAGGGGCUGUGUCACUUGGGUCAGGAAGCCAGGCUCUGUUGCCUGAGAUCAGCCUGUGCUGGGUAAGCCACUGCUGUCUUCAUCUGUGACAGGGAGAAUGUAGGAGACUUAAUGAGUCUGUGUUUGCCAAGCUCUUUGAAGACUCUCAGAGCUCAUGAAAGCCUGUGCUCAUUAUAGUGAAAGCUAUAGCUGCUCUGGGCUUUAAUGUUGUUCUUCCCUUGGAGGCCUGACAGGCUAGCUCUCACUCACAUGGGUAAGACCUCAGUGGGUGCAGAAAGAUGGGGGUGGGAAGAAGUGGUAUGCAUGCUCUAAGUGCAUGUGGGGUGUGUGUGUUUAUGUGUAUGUGUGGGGGGGGGCUGUGGGGGAGGGGUACAUGCAGUAUGUGUGGUGUGUAUAUAUAUGUGUGUGGUCUGUUGUAUAUAUAGUAUGUAUGUAUGUAUAUUAUAUGUGUGUGUGCUGUGUAUGUAUGUAUAAUAUGUGUGUGUGUGUGUGUGUGCGCUGUGUAUGUAUGUAUGUAUGUGUUGUAUGUCUUAUAGUGUGGUACAAUGUGGGUAGUGUGUGGUAUGGUUGGUGUGUUGGGGUGCGUGGUAUAUGGUAUGUGGGGAUGUGUGUGGUGUGUGGGUAUGUGGUAUGAUGUGGUGUGUGUGCCCUGGUGUGUGUGUGUGGUGUGGUAUGUGUGUGAGGGAUAUGGGUCUGUGUAUGUCGUGUGGUGUGUGUGUGUCAUGUGGUGUGUGUUGUAUGUUGUGUGUGCUGUGGUGUGCGUGUGCAGGGUAUACGUGUCUAGUGCGUGGACCUGGGCUUCACUCCCGCAGUGACUGUAAGGGGACAAAAUCCCUUGCUUAGGUGCUGGCUCUGGCGGCAGCAGUGAACUUUUGUUCUGAGAACACCACCCACACACAGUCGGUUGCUGCCAGGAGCUGUGCCGCCCACACAGGAUCAGUCAAGCCGGCAUGAAAGAAAUGAGCUUCCAACUGGCUCCAGUUUAAGUUUCUUUUCUUCCCUCCUCUGGAACAGCUUGAAAUUGCUUCUCUUCUUUGUUGGGAUCCCUGGAAAACUUCACCUCUCCUCCACCUCCAGUGUACUCCCUCCCUCCACCUCCUACCCCCUCCCCUCUCCUCCCCUAGCCUCGACCCACACCCACCUGUCCCCAGUCCAGGGAUCCAGAAGCUGAUCUGCACCCUUCACCAUCUGAUCCCGGGCUCACUGUUGCCCCUCAGUGCCCUGCAAGUCUAGCAGAUUCUAGAUGAAGCUGGGCAGAGGCAGGCCUGCACUGCCUACAGGACCAUGAAUGGAGAGUAAACCUGCUGCAGGACCAUGAAUGGAGAGCUCCAAAUGUCUCCAUGCCAUCCUCAACACGGC
rnacentral:lncRNA from 1 species